AAAAAUCUAUAAUGGUGGGGAGGAAAAAUCACAUCAGAAAGUUUUCUGCAUGUAUCCAGGUGGUUUCAUCAAUGCAAAAACUUCCCUGGGAAACACCCCCUGGCCGCCAAAGCGGCAGGGCUCUAUCGAACCCCCCCAAAAGCUCAUAAGAAGUGCCACUCAUUGGGUCA